rnacentral:rRNA from 1 species
AGCUCCAAUAGCGUAUAUUAAAGUUGUUGCGGUUAAAAAGCUCGUAGUUGGAUUUCUGUCGGUGAGUUGCAGUCCGGCCACUGUGCUUGGUACUUGUAACGCUACCGGCAUCUUCCUGGGGACUGUGUCUGCUCUUCACUGAGUGGCUCAUAAUCCAGGACUUUUACUUUGAAGUAAUAGGAGUGUUUCAAGCAGGCAUGCGCCGUGAACACGUUAGCAUGGAAUAAUAGCAUCGGACCUCGCUCCAAAGCUGUUGGUUUCUUGGACCGAGGUAAAGGUGAAUAGGGAUUGUUGGGGGCAUUCGUAUUUAACUGUCAGAGGUGAAAGUCUUGGAUUUGUUGAAGACGGACUACUGCGAAAGCAUCUGCCAAAGAUGUUC